GAUGAACGCUGGCGGCGUGCCUAAUACAUGCAAGUCGAGCGAACAGACGAGGAGCUUGCUCCUCUGACGUUAGCGGCGGACGGGUGAGUAACACGUGGAUAACCUAUCUAUAAGACUGGGAUAACUUCGGGAAACCGGAUCGAAUACCGGAUAAUAUCUUGAACCGCAUGGUUCAAUAUUUAAAGACGGUUUUGCUGUCGCGUGUAGAUGGAUCCGCGUCGCAUUGGCUAGUAGGUGAGGUAACGGCUUAUCAAGGCGACGAAGCGUAGCCGAGCUGAGAGGGUGAUCGGCCCCACUGGAACUGAGACACGGUCCAGACUACUACGGGAGGCAGCAGUAGGGAAUCUUACGCAAUGCGAGAAAGCCUAACGGAGCAAAGCCGCGUGAGUGAUGAAGGUCUUCGGAUCGUAAAACUCUGUUCUUAGGGAAGAACAAAUGUGUAAGUAACUAUGCACGGCUUGACGGUACCUAAUCAGAAAGCCCCGGCUAACUACGUG
rnacentral:rRNA from 1 species